AGAGUUUGAUCCUGGCUCAGAUUGAACGCUGGCGGAAUGCUUUACACAUGCAAGUCGAACGGCAGCACGGACUUCGGUCUGGUGGCGAGUGGCGAACGGGUGAGUAACAUAUCGGAACGUAUCCAAUAAUGGGGGAUAACUAAUCGAAAGGUUGGCUAAUACCGCAUACGCCCUACGGGGGAAAGCUAGGGACCUUCGGGCCUGGCGUUAAUGGAGCGGCCGAUAUCUGAUUAGCUAGUUGGUGGGGUAAAGGCCCACCAAGGCGACGAUCAGUAGCUGGUCUGAGAGGACGACCAGCCACACUGGAACUGAGACACGGUCCAGACUCCUACAGGAGGCAGCAGUGGGGAAUUUUGGACAAUGGGCGCAAGCCUGAUCCAGCCAUUCCGCGUGAGUGAAGAAGGCCUUCGGGUUGUAAAGCUCUUUCGCAAGGGAAGAAAACUUAGGCUCUAACAUAGCCUGAGGUUGACGGUACCUUGAUAAGAAGCACCGGCUAACUACGUGCCAGCAGCCGCGGUAAUACGUAGGGUGCGAGCGUUAAUCGGAAUUACUGGGCGUAAAGCGUGCGCAGGCGGUUUCGUAAGACAGACGUGAAAUCCCCGGGCUCAACCUGGGAACUGCGUUUGAAACUACGGAGCUAGAGUACGGCAGAGGGGGGUGGAAUUCCACGUGUAGCAGUGAAAUGCGUAGAUAUGUGGAGGAACACCGAUGGCGAAGGCAGCCCCCUGGGCCGAUACUGACGCUCAGGCACGAAAGCGUGGGGAGCAAACAGGAUUAGAUACCCUGGUAGUCC
rnacentral:rRNA from 1 species